GAUGCAGAUCUUUGUGAAGACCCUCACGGGCAAGACCAUCACCCUUGAGGUCAAGCCCACCGACACCAUUUAGAAUGUCAAAACCAAAAUUCAGGACAAGGAGGGUAUCCCACCUGACCAGCAGCGUCUGAUAUUUGCUGGGAAACGGCUGGAGGAUGGCCACACUCUCUCAGGCUACAACAUCCAGAAAGAGUCCACCCUAAACCUGGUGCUGCGCCUGCGAGGUGGCAUUACUGAGCCUUCCCUCCGCCAGCUCGUCCAGAAAUACAACUGCGACGAGAUGAUCUGCUGCAAGUGCUAUGCUUGCCUGCACCCCGGUGCUAUCAACUGCCACAAGAAGAAAUGCGGCCACACCAACAACCUGUACCCCAGGAAGAAGGUC
rnacentral:lncRNA from 1 species